rnacentral:rRNA from 1 species
UACGAAGGGGGCUAGCGUUGUUCGGAAUUACUGGGCGUAAAGCGCACGUAGGCGGACUAUUAAGUCAGGGGUGAAAUCCCGGGGCUCAACCCCGGAACUGCCUUUGAUACUGGUAGUCUCGAGUCCGGAAGAGGUGAGUGGAAUUCCGAGUGUAGAGGUGAAAUUCGUAGAUAUCAGGAGGAACACCGAUGGCGAAGGCAGCUCACUGGGACGGUACUGACGCUGAGGCGCGAAAGCGUGGGGAGCAAACAGG